rnacentral:SRP_RNA from 1 species
GGGUGGGCCCGGCGCGGCAGAGCCUUGCGAACCCCGUCAGGUCCGAGAGGAAGCAGCGGUAAUGAAGUGACUCUGGGUGCCGCCGGUAAACCUGCCCGGA